rnacentral:rRNA from 1 species
AGUGAACGCUGGCGGUAGGCCUAACACGUGCAAGUCGAACGGCAGCACAGUAAGAGCUUGCUCUUACGGGUGGCGAGUGGCGGACGGGUGAGGAAUACAUCGGAAUCUACUUUUUCGUGGGGGAUAACGUAGGGAAACUUACGCUAAUACCGCAUACGACCUACGGGUGAAAGCAGGGGAUCUUCGGACCUUGCGCGAUUGAAGGAGCCGAUGUCGGAUUAGCUAGUUGGCGGGGUAAAGGCCCACCAAGGCGACGAUCCGUAGCUGGUCUGAGAGGAUGAUCAGCCACACUGGAACUGAGACACGGUCCAGACUCCUACGGGAGGCAGCAGUGGGGAAUAUUGGACAAUGGGCGCAAGCCUGCUCCAGCCAUACCGCGUGGGUGAAGAAGGCCUUCGGGUUGUAAAGCCCUUUUGUUGGGAAAGAAAAGCAGCAGGUUAAUACCCCGCUGUUCUGACGGUACCCAAAGAAUAAGCACCGGCUAACUUCGUG